ACUGGUACACCAGAGGUGCGUCCUUCCCGGUCCUCUCGUACUAGGGAAAGGUCCUCUCAAUGCUCUAACGCCCACACCGGAUAUGCCGAGGUAGUGGACAAACAGAGGGGAAGAAAAUAUGGCGGGGGAAAAAUUUCUUGUGAUUGUGAGCAAAUUGCUUGGCUUGUUUAAUUAAGUUCAACUUCAAAUUUACAGAAAUUUUGCGAAAAGAAAAAGUAAACUCUU